GACGAACGCUGGCGGCGUGCCUAAUACAUGCAAGUCGAGCGGACCAAAGGGAGCUUGCUCCUGGAGGUUAGCGGCGAACGGGUGAGUAACACGUGGGCAACCUGCCUGUAAGACUGGGAUAACAUCGAGAAAUCGGUGCUAAUACCGGAUAAUAAAAAGAACUGCAUGGUUCUUUUUUGAAAGAUGGUUUCGGCUAUCACUUACAGAUGGGCCCGCGGCGCAUUAGCUAGUUGGUGAGGUAACGGCUCACCAAGGCAACGAUGCGUAGCCGACCUGAGAGGGUGAUCGGCCACACUGGGACUGAGACACGGCCCAGACUCCUACGGGAGGCAGCAGUAGGGAAUCUUCCGCAAUGGACGAAAGUCUGACGGAGCAACGCCGCGUGAGUGAUGAAGGUUUUCGGAUCGUAAAACUCUGUUGUUAGGGAAGAACAAGUGCCGUUCGAAAGGCGGCACCUUGACGGUACCUAACGAGAAAGCCACGGCUAACUACGUGCCAGCAGCCGCGGUAA
rnacentral:rRNA from 1 species